GCCUGGGUGGCUCAGUCGGUUGAGCGUCCGACUUCGGCUCAAGUCACCAUCUCACAGUGUGCGGGUUCGAGCCCCGCGUCGGGCU
rnacentral:tRNA from 1 species